CUACUACUCCCUCCGUUUCAAUUUUUUUGUCUUACUAGAUAUGGAUGUAUUUAAUACUAAAAUGUAACUUGAUAUAUUCGUAUUUAGAUAAAUAUAAGACAAGAAUUUUGGGACGGAGGGAGUAUUAA
rfam:Triticum aestivum genome assembly, contig: Triticum_aestivum_CS42_TGACv1_scaffold_320323_4BL